CAUCAACGUUACAAAAAACCCUCAAUUGAUGAGGGGGAGAAAAAGGCCAAUUACUAAAGAGCUGGUUAUGAAGACACAGCUUUGCUAUACUGUCUGCAGCUUUGUUGGCUAUCCUAUUCACUUUAGCAAAAACAACAUUAUGGAAUAAAUGAGCAUAGGAGAGAAUUGAUCUGAUUGUUGCAUGAAUCUCCCAAGCUUGGCAUUGAUGAGGAUCAUUUAGAGCAGAAAUGAUCAAAGCUGAAUCAGAUUCCACAAUUAUAGAAGAAGCUCCUACAUCUUCUGCUAACUUCAUAGCUUCCAACACUGCCUUCGCUUCACUUUGAAGGGGAGAAG
rnacentral:misc_RNA from 1 species